rnacentral:rRNA from 1 species
GAUGAACGCUAGCGGGAGGCUUAACACAUGCAAGCCGAGGGGUAUAUUUCUUUCGGGAGAUAGAGACCGGCGCACGGGUGCGUAACGCGUAUGCAACUUGCCCUACUGAAAAGGAUAGCCCUUCGAAAGGAGGAUUAAUACUUUAUAAUAGAAAUCAUGGCAUCAUGAAUUUUUGAAAGAUUUAUCGCAGUAGGAUAGGCAUGCGUAAGAUUAGUUAGUUGGUGAGGUAACGGCUCACCAAGACGAUGAUCUUUAGGGGGCCUGAGAGGGUGAACCCCCACACUGGUACUGAGACACGGACCAGACUCCUACGGGAGGCGGCAGUGAGGAAUAUUGGACAAUGGGUGGAAGCCUGAUCCAGCCAUCCCGCGUGUAGGAUGACGGCCUUAUGGGUUGUAAACUACUUUUAUCUGGGGAUAAACCUACUCACGUGUGAGUAGCUGAAGGUACCAGAAGAAUAAGCACCGGCUAACUCCGUGCCAGCCGCCGCAGUAAUAC